AGGCACGGAUGCAAUCCCAUCAGAUUCUGAAUGAGGAUGGAUAAUUGAGGAACGCAUAAAUCAGAGUGUAAUAGAGAUGGCUGAACAUCUGAUGUCCUCUGGGCCACCUGGUGUGAAGAUAUGUCUUGAAGAAAUUAAAAG